GACGAACGCUGGCGGCGUGCUUAACACAUGCAAGUCGAACGGAAAGGCCCUGCUUUUGUGGGGUGCUCGAGGGGCGAACGGGUGAGUAACACGUGAGUAACUUGCCCUUGACUUUGGGAUAACUUCAGGAAACUGGGGCUAAUACCGGAAAGGAGCUCCUGCUGCAUGGUGGGGGUUGGAAAGUUUCGGCGGUUGGGGAUGGACUCGCGGGUUAUCAGUUUGUUGGUGGAGUAGUGGCUUACCAAGGCUUUGACGGGUAGCCGGCCUGAGAGGGUGACCGGCCACAUUGGGACUGAGAUACGGCCCAGACUCCUACGGGAGGCAGCAGUGGGGAAUAUUGCACAAUGGGCGGAAGCCUGAUGCAGCAACGCCGCGUGCGGGAUGACGGCCUUCGGGUUGUAAACCGCUUUCGCCUGUGACGAAGCGUGAGUGACGGUAAUGGGUAAAGAAGCACCGGCUAACUACGUG
rnacentral:rRNA from 1 species